CGUAGGUGUUAGCCUUCGGUAUUAUUGAAAAUGGUCGUUCAUGGCUAUUUUCGACAAAAAUGGGGGUUGUGUGGCCAUUGAUCAUCGACCAGACGCUCAUACACCUCACCCCACAUAUGUUUCCUUGCCAUAGAUCACAUUCUUGGAUUUCUGGUGGAGACCAUUUCUUGGUCUAAAAUCCGUAGGUGUUAGCCUCUAGUAUUAUUGAAAAUGGUCGCUCAUGGCUAUUUUCAAGGUCGCUCAUGGCUAUUUUCAUAAAAAUGGGGGUUGUGUGGCCAUUUAUCAUCGACUAGAGGCUCAUAAACCUCACCCGACAUAUGUUUCCUUGCCAUAGAUUACAUUCUUGGAUUUCUGGUGGAAACCAUUUCUUGGUUAAAAACUCGUACGUGUUAGCCUUCGGUAUUAUUGAAAAUGGUCAUUCAUGGCUAUUUUCGGCAAAAUGGGGGUUGUGUGGCCAUUGAUCGUCGACCAGAGGCUCAUACACCUCACCCCACAUAUGUUUCCUUGCCAUAGAUCACAUUCUUGGAUUUCUGGUGGAGACCAUUUCUUGGUUAAAAACUCGUACGUGUUAGCCUUCGGUAUUAUUGAAAAUGGUCGUUCAUGGCUAUUUUCGACAAAAAUUAGGGUUGUGUGGCCAUUGAUCGUCGACCAGAGGCUCAUACACCUCACCCCACAUAUGUUUCCUUGCCAUAGAUCACAUUCUUGGAUUUCUGGUGGAGACCAUUUCUUGGUCAAAAAUCCGUAGGUGUUAGCCUUCGAUAUUAUUGAAAAUGGUCGUUCAUGGCUAUUUUCGACAAAAAUUUGGGUUGUGUGGCCAUUGAUCAUCGACCAGAGGCUCAUACACCUCACCCCACAUAUGUUUCCUUGCCAUAGAUCACAUUCUUGGAUUUCUGGUGGAAACCAUUUCUUGGUCAAAAAUCCGUAGGUGUUAGCCUUCGGUAUUAUUGAAAAUGGUCGUUCAUGGCUAUUUUCGGCAAAAUGGGGGUUGUGUGGCCAUUGAUCAUCGACCAGAGGCUCGUACACCUCACCCCACAUAUGUUUCCUUGCCAUAGAUCACAUUCUUGGAUUUCUGGUGGAGACCAUUUCUUGGUCAAAAAUCCGUAGGUGUUAGCCUUCGGUAUUAUUGAAAAUGGUCAUUCAUGGCUAUUUUCGACAAAAAUGGGGGUUGUGUGGCCAUUGAUCAUCGACCAGAGGCUCAUACACCUCACCCACAUAUGUUUCCUUGCCAUAGAUCACAUUCUUGGAUUUCUGGUGGAGACCAUUUCUUGGUCAAAAAUCCGUAGGUGUUAGCCUUCGAUAUUAUUGAAAAUGGUCGUUCAUGGCUAUUUUCGACAAAAAUGGGGUUGUGUGGCCAUUGAUCAUCGACCAGAGGCUCAUACACCUCACCCCACAUAUGUUUCCUUGCCAUAGAUUACAUUCUUGGAUUUCUGGUGGAGACCAUUUCUUGGUCUAAAAUCCGUAGGUGUUAGCCUCUAGUAUUAUUGAAAAUGGUCGCUCAUGGCUAUUUUCAUAAAAAAUGGGGGUUGUGUGGCCAUUGAUCAUCGACCAGAGGCUCGUACACCUCACCCCACAUAUGUUUCCUUGCCAUAGAUUACAUUCUUGGAUUUCUGGUGGAAACCAUUUCUUGGUUAAAAACUCGUACGUGUUAGCCUUCGGUAUUAUUGAAAAUGGUCAUUCAUGGCUAUUUUCGGCAAAAUGGGGGUUGUGUGGCCAUUGAUCAUCGACCAGAGGCUCAUACACCUCACCCCACAUAUGUUUCCUUGCCAUAGAUCACAUUCUUGGAUUUCUGGUGGAGACCAUUUCUUGGUCAAAAAUCCGUAGGUGUUGGGGUCGUGCUUCGGUGCGCCGAAGGUCUCACACGAAGAAGCAGCUUCGGUUGAAGUCGUCUCCAAGAGAUGGCCGAAGGUCCCUUUUCAUGGAGCUUCGGCGUUUUAAACCGACAUAGAGAUAGAAUGACCUUUUUAUACAUAUAGGUCUGAGUCAAUGCUGUAAACUUUCGCAAGGGGCAUAAUUGUAAUUUGUCACAGGCUGCGACCUGUGCCUAUAAAUAGAUGAACAGUACCUCUGUACUGUUCACGUGAACCUGUCAUUUGCUUUCGCAUCACGCUUGUACUUUUGCCUUCCGCAGGACCGAAGGUACAUUUGUAAUUCAAAGUCAUUUAUAUUCACUAAUACAAAUAGAGACAAUUCUAUGACAAUAUUUAAAUGUUUAUUUCAUAUUCUAUGAUUUAUGUGAAUGCUUCAUUCUUCGUUCUUAUGUUUACGAAGGUAUGUCCUUCGUAACCUUCGUCCGAGAUGCUUUAUAUCCCGAAGGGAUAUAUCGUUAUGGAGGACGAAGGACCUUAACACUUAACGUUUUUUGUGUUGCCUUGUUCUUAAUUCUUAGCAUUUGAGAACAAGUUCCCAACAUUGGCGCCCACCUCCGGUCAACUCACUUCCACCUUUCUGAGCUGAUGGCUUCGUUCAACACUCAAGCUGGAGCUGCUUCGGCUUCGAAGCUGGUGCUCCCGAUAACAGGCGGUUCUUGCUCAGAGCCAGCUAACAAAAAGCAGAAGAAGGAGGCUCAGAGAAGGGUGCAGCAUGUUGGAGUGCAGGGACCCUUCAUUAAGUCAAAAUGGUCUCACAUUCCAAUUACCUUCUCUCAGGAAGAUCUUCAGCUCAAGGACUAUCCCACAAUGAUGCUAUGGUCAUUUCUUGUGUGAUCAAAGGGUUUCUGGUUCACAAUGUCCUAGUUGACACAGGCAGUGCAGCUGACAUUAUAUUUGCCAAAGCCUUCAGACAGAUGCAAGAGCCUGAAGACAAGAUUCAUGAUGCUACGCACCCUCUUUGUGGCUUCGGAGGGCGGCAGAUUGUGGCACUCGGGAAGAUUACCAUGCCGGUAACCUUCGGAUUUGUUAAUAACACAAGGACUGAGCAAAUUAUGUUUGAUAUUGUUGACAUGGAAUACCCCUACAACGCCAUCAUUGGUCGUGGUACCCUAAAUGCUUUUGAAGCAAUUCUUCACCCAGCUUAUCUCUGCAUGAAGAUACCUUCGGACCAAGGGCCUAUUGCUAUUCAUGGGAGUCAGGAAGCUGCCAGAAGGGCCGAAGGAAGCUGGACUGAUUCCAAGGCAAUCCAUAAUAUAGAUGGAGUUGAAGCUUGUGAACAGUACAAGUUCAGGAGGGAAAAAGCAGCUUCGGCUGAUCAGCCGAAGCCCAUGCUGCUGUGUGAGGAUAUAGCAGAGCAGAAGGUGCUAUUGGGCUCGCAAUUAUCUGAAGAUCAAGAGAAAACCUUGAUAAGGUUUUUAUUCAACAAUAAAGAUGUUUUUGCAUGGUCAGCCAAUGAUCUAUGUGGAGUGAAUCGGGAUGUUAUUGAACAUUCGCUCAAUAUUGACCCAUCCUUCAGACCCCGCAAGCAGAGGCUUCGGAAAAUGUCUGAUGACAAGGCCGAAGGGGCUCGCAACGAAGUAAAAAGACUCCUAAGUGCAGGAGUUAUCAGAGAAGUGAAGUAUCCAGAAUGGCUAGCUAACACUGUUAUGGUGAAGAAGGCCAAUGGAAAGUGGAGAAUGUGUAUUGAUUUCACAGAUCUCAACAAGGCUUGUCCGAAGGAUGAGUUCCCGCUGCCAAGGAUAGACUCUUUAGUUGAUGCAGCAGCUUCUUCGGAACUCAUGAGUCUCCUGGAUUGUUACUCAGGCUAUCAUCAAAUCUGGAUGAAAAAGGAGGAUGAGCCGAAGACUAGUUUCAUAACCCCAAGUGGUACAUAUUGCUAUCUUCGGAUGCCUGAGGGGCUUAAGAAUGCUGGAGGGAGUUUCAGCAGGAUGACUGCGAAGGUUCUCCAAUCUCAGAUAGGCAGAAAUGUGUUGACCUAUGUUGAUGACAUUAUUGUAAAAAGCACGAAGCAAGAAGACCAUAUUGCUGAUCUGCAGGAGACCUUCGCCAGCUUCAGACAAGCUGGUCUGAAGCUGAAUCCAGAAAAAUGUGUCUUCGGAGUAAAGAAGGGUAAGUUCCUUGGAUGCUUGGUUUCAACAAAGGGAAUUGAAGCUAACCCAAAUAAAAUCGAAGCUAUACUUCGAAUGGAGCCACCAACCACAAGAAAGGGGGCCCAAAGAUUGACAGGAAGACUGGCAUCUCUUAACAGAUUUAUAUCCAGAUCAGCGGAAAGAAAUCUACCCUUCUUCGAGGUGCUAAAAUCAGCUGAAGUCUUUCAAUGGGGCCCAGCUCAACAAAAAGCUUUCGAAGAACUCAAGCAAUACCUGAUAGAUCUAACAACAUUAACUCCACCAAUGCCAGGGGCUCCUCUGUUGUUGUAUGUGGCAGCUUCGCACUCAGCAGUAAGUGCGGCACUUGUGCAGGAGAAGUUUGAUGGACAAAUCAAGAAGCAGGUCCCAGUAUAUUUUGUAUCUGAGGUCCUUAGUGUCUCAAAGAAAAAUUAUACAGAGCUGGAGAAGGUGUUGUAUGCCGUUCUAAUGGCAUCCAGGAAGCUUCGGCAUUAUUUUCAGGCAUAUAAUAUUAUUGUUCCUUCUUCGCAGCCGUUGAAAGAUAUCAUGAGAAAUAAAGAAGCUACUGGCCGAAUUGGAAAAUGGGCUGCGGAGCUUAAUGAAUUUUACAUUGAUUAUGUGCACAGAUCCUCGAUCCAGUCUCAAGCAUUGGCAGAUUUUAUUGCCGACUGGACGCCAGGGGCUCAGGGCGAAGAAGCGAAUAAAGAUGCCGAAGCAUGGACAGUGUUUUGUGAUGGCUCCUGGGGAACCUUCGGAGCAGGAGCAGCUGCUGUUUUGGUUUCACCGUCCAAGGUUAAAACUUGCUAUGCAGCAAAACUGGACUUCAGCUGCACAAAUAAUAUUGCUGAGUACGAAGCCUUGCUCCUGGGUCUUCGGAAACUAAAGCGAUGGGGAUCAGGAGGGCGAUCCUUAAAACUGAUUCUCAGAUUGUUUCGGGUCAUAUUGACAAAAGUUGCAAGGCUAAAGACCCGAAGCUUGAAAAAUACUUAGACACAGUCCGAAGGAUCGAAGCUUCUUCGAAGGAUUUUCUGUUAAGAAUAUCCCUCGAGGGCAAAAUGAACAUGCUGAUUUGUUAGCCAGGUCUGCAGCACAGGGGCUGCCGCUACCUUCGGAUGUAUUCUUCGAAACAAUAAAGGCACCUUCAGUGGAGUUACUUGAAAGAGCAGUUCUUACUAUUUCUCCUGUGUACAGUGAAGAUUGGAGAACUGAAAUAAUUUCUUACCUUCAGGGCAACUUCCUAUCAGAUGACGAAGCUUAUAAUAAAAGAAUAGAGGCAAGAGCUCGUCCGUAUAUCAUUAUAGAAGGGGAGUUAUACAAGCAUGGAGUUUGUGCCCCGCUGCUCAAGUGCUUGUCUAGAGCCGAAGGUAUAGAGUUGAUGAAGGAGAUACAUGCAGGCCUUUGUGGAUCCCACAUCGGAUCCAGGCCGUUACUUGGAAAAGUGUUCCGUCAAGGGUUUUAUUGGCCGAAGGCAGCUUCGGAUGCAGCUGAGUUAGUUCAAAAGUGCGAAGGUUGUCAGAAAUGUGCAAGAGAUCAAAAACAACCUUCGUCUUUGACACAGCUAAUACAACCCAUCUGGCCAUUGCAAAGGUGGGGCCUCGAUUUGCUGGGCCCAUUACCAUCGGCUCAAGGCAAUCUGAAAUAUGUUGUAGUUGCUGUGGAAUAUUUUUCCAAGUGGAUUGAGGCGAAGCCAUUAGCUACAAUAACUUCGGCCACUGUCCAAAAAUUUUUCUGGCAGAAUAUUGUCUGUCGCUUCGGAGUGCCGAAGGCUAUAACUGUAGAUAAUGGAACACAAUUUGACUCCGAAGAAUUCAGAAAUUUUUGUGAUCAAAUUGGCACGAAGAUCCACUUUGCGUCAGUCAGGCACCCGGAGUCGAAUGGGCUUGUUGAAAGGGCCAACGGCAUCAUAAUGACAGGAAUAAUGAAGCUAAUCUUUAAUCAACCAAGGGGAAAGUGGCCAGAUCAGCUUACCAAAGUGGUAUGGAGCCAUAACACAACAACAUCAAGAUCUACAGGCUUUACCCCAUUUAAGUUGUUAUUUGGUGACGAAGCAAUAACCCCGGAAGAAGCCAAAGCUGGAUCAAUAAGAGUGGUAGCUUCGGCAGAAUCAGGUCCCGAAGAUACUUGUCUCGUGGAAAAAGAUGCCUUAGAAGGGAUCAGGCUUCAGGCCGUGGAGAAUAUCAAUAAGUACCAGGCUGAAACAGUUAAAUGGCGAGAUAGAAAGGUCCGGCUAAAAAAUAUUGAGCCAGGACACUUGGUGCUUCGGAGAGUGGCCAAUCCGGAUACAGUGGGCAAAUUGCAACUGAAAUGGGAAGGGCCUUUCUUAGUAGCAUCUUCGUCAAGGCCUGGUUCGUACAGACUGAAGGACAUGGAUGGCAAUGAAAUUCCAAGAUCUUGGAAUGCGGAUGAGCUUCGGCGGUUUUAUGUAUAACUCGAUGUAAUUUUGACUUUUCUUUUCUUUUUCAUGGCACCCUUUUCCUUUCUAAAGGGGGAGAAAGGUUUUUAAUGGGGCCAUCAUAUGUAAUUUCCUUUUUAGUUUUAUAAGAGCAAAAUCCCCCAAAGAAUGUAAAUGUAAAAGCUGAGAGCGCACCAUCGAGUGCCGAAACUAAAAAAGAGAAGAAGCUCCAAAGACGUCCCUAAGGGGAUGCAGAGCUUACAGCGAAAAGUCAACGCUGAUUCCGCCGAAAGUAAAAGGCGAAGAAGCUCCAAAGUCGUUCCUAAGGGAAUGCAGAGCUUAUACCGUCUAAGUAAAAGACGAAGAAGCUCCAAAGACGUCCCUAGGGGGAUGCAGAGCUUACAGCGAAAAGUCAACGCUGAUACUGCCUAAGUAAAAGGCAAAGAUGCUCCAAAGUCGUUCUUAAGGGAAUGCAGAGCUGACGUGUGUUUGCUCCUAAGAAAAUGAUGGAUGAGUGUGGCUUCGGACAUACGCUUCGGACAUUCAUUUGCACAUUACAUCAUGGCAUUUGCAUGCAUAAGCAUUCAUUCAUAGCAUUUGUGUUCCUAAAUGGUUGCUUCGGCACAGAGAAAAGUUUCGGAUAAAUGGUUUGUUAUGUAAAAGAAAGGUUUCGAAGAAGUAGUUUUUUAUGAAUCGUUGUGUAUAAGAGAAGUAGUCUUUUAUGUCUUGCUAUGUAAAAGCUUCGGCAGAAGGAAGAAGUAGCCUUUUAUGUUUUGCUAUGUAAAAGCUUCGGCAGAAAGAAGAAGUAGUUUUUUAUGUUUUGCUAUGUGAAGAAAAGCUUUGGCAAAAAAAGGAAGCGGCCGUUUAGGCUUCGUUGUGUACGAAAAGAAGGGAAGGUGUUUUUCGCCUUCGGCUCAAAAUACUGAUUUCGUCCACAUCAAAGCGACUCAAUCGAAGGGUAAGAAUAUAUUACAAGGUAUGUACAAAGUUCCUUGAGAACAGUUCAAUUGUAUUUACAAAACUUGUUACAAAAGUAUCCUGAGUUUUUUCCUAUAGUACAUUUCUACUGAUCUUCAUUAAGCUUCAGCUUCGACGACAGUUUCGGCGACAUAACUUAGGCAUCAUCUUCACCUUCGUCAUCCUACAUAAAUCAAGGAAUCGUGAGUAAAAAUCAAGUGCAAAGAAAAAGGUAAGUACGAAGUAUUAUCUCUUACUGGUUCAAGAUGACUUCGUGCUUCAUCUCCAGCCUUCUCCCGCCCGCCUUUUGUCCAUAUCAUUUUUAUAAAUCUAUUGGAGAUACUUCGGGCAAGGUCAGGCAUAUCAUCCAGGAUUGAUGGAGAUAAGGUGAAGUUGGGCCUGUUGACAACUUUUCCAUGUUCGCAGCCGGCCUUCAGAAAUGCAGCAGCUGUACCCCGAGAAGCUACCCAGGCACAGAAGUCGCCGUGCCCGGCUAUAACUUCGUCAAGCUCUUCGAUUUCAGCUUCAAUAUGAUCGAAGGCCUGGGGUAAAUUUUCCGCCGAAGGGUUAAAUUUCCCACUGCUGGCCCCAACAGAGUAAAAUAUCUUUUUUAAUCGUCCAAUACAAUUAUUGCCAAAGUUCAAGCAUUUGUCUUGAAGGCUUGUUAAUGCUUUCUUCAAUUCUGAGCUGGUCUGGACUUCGGCUUUAAGCUUCGAAUUCAGUUCUAGCUUCUCCUGAUCAAAUUGUUUUGAUUGAUUGAUAAGCUUCGAAUUUAACUCUAAUAUUUUAGCCUCAGUUUCAGCCAGCAAGCCUUCGGUCGAUUGGAGCUCGAAGUCUUUCUUUUCAAUGAUGGCAGUUUGCUCUUUUAUUUUGCUUUCCAAGUUUUCAAUUAUAGCUUCGUGCUUCUUGUCCUCCAAGUCUUGUUGCAUCUUCAGAGCUUUGCUCAGUAGCAUGCUGUGAACAGAAACAACUUAUGUCAAGUAAUAUUUUCAUUGUUAGCGGCAAUAAAAACCAGAGAAAAAGGUUGUUUACCUUGAAGUUAGAAUAAAACAAGCUGCCGACGAUAUGUUGUCGUCGGUAGCGGCUGAUGUCUGUCUCUAGCUUCGGAAAACCGAUACUCUUCGAUAGAGUACCGAUUACCUUAGCUCCAGUCUGGUCUCGAAUACAGCCUAGUUUUUCAUCAUCUACACCCCCAAAUAGGAGGGCACCUGACUUGUAGCCGCAAGACUUGGCGUAGUCUUUAAGUUCUUCUAUUUCGUCCUUCGUCAGUUUUUGCCCAACUAAGUUCUGGAAAGAGUAGGCUUCGUCGUCCGAAGGGUCUUCGGCUAUUUCUUUUCCUUUCUCAGGCACUGUGGCCAUGGUUUUUUCAGUAGUAGCACCAGCUUCUUCCGCAGCCAUGUCUUCCAAAAUCUUGUUGAUAUUCUUAAUCGUGGUUUCUAAGUUUGUAUCUUCGGCUGUAGCGGCUUCGGUAGCCGCGACCUCCGAAGCUACGCCUUCGACGAUUGCUGUACCUUCGGCAGCUGCCGUUUUUUGGAUUGAUGCCCUUGGUGGCGUCUUGUCGAUAACCUCAGUUACCGCAAUGAUUCUUUGCCGUUUGGGUUUGUUUAUCUUCGAUUGAUCCGGCUCGUCCACCUUUUCAAAAAGCUUCGUCAGUUGGAGCCCUAAUGGACUUAGCUUCGUAGGCAUGGGUUCAGUCAUUACCUUUAAAAUUUCCUCCACGUCGCUGGCAGAAGGCAGUGUGGGGGUCCCCUCUUCUUCGGGUGAUUUGCGCUUCGGAGCAGAUAUUUUUCCUUUUUUGAGAAUUUUCUUCUCCUUUGCUGGUCUUUCUUCAUCCGUGAUUGAAGUUUCGGCUAUUCUUUUUCUUUUAAGGCCCUCGGCACCCUUGUUCAAUUGUUCAUAGUCUGGGUAUUCGAAGCCUAAGGCGUCAAGCACUCGGUUCAACCUUCGUUUCGGUCGGGCACCGAAGGCUGCUGUCAUUAGUUGAUCCUCUUUUUUGGAGUAGUUCCCCAGGAUUUCGUUGCACAUCACUUCAACAGUCUCUAACCAUUCUUUGCAGGGUUUUUUGAAGAACUUCUUGAACUUGAAGUAAUAGGGAAGCCGGACAAGCUCCCCCUCCUUCUUCUCUCCCUCCAGCUUCGGCAUCUCCCACUCUUUUAGAGUAGGGAAAACUCUGAAUGCCAAGAAUUCCUGAACUAGAUCCCUGGUGCCAAUAUGUUCUGAGAUAAUUUCAAAUUCACCCAGAGCAGCCCAGGUGGGACCUUUUAGGUCGCCAAUGUGGCAUUGUGGCCUUGUCUCUCCGAAGAUUAACUCCAGAGGGCUUUGUACCAAUUUUUCUUUGUCUUCAUCAACUUUUACAUAAAACCACUCAGAUUUCCAACCUGCUGGCCAUUUGCUUCGGUAGCUGAUGACAGGACACUUUGUUGUCUUCCGGUAGGCAAAAUUAUAGCAACCGAAAUUAUCAUGUAGCCCAUCUUUUCUGGCUUUUGUUUGGUAAUGUAAUUCGUGAGCUCGGCAGAAGCUGUCAGCAAAUGGUUCCACAGCUUGGCUUCGGAGGGCCCAGAUAUAAACAUUGAGCCUAACGAUGGCGUUAGGAGUCAAUUGAUGAAAGUAGAUACCAAACCUCCUUAGUAUCUCCGCAACAAUACCGUGGAGAGGGAAUCUAAGCCCGGCUUUUAAAAAACUCUUGAAAAUAACAAUCUCAUCCUUCCUUGGCUUCGGGGUGGUUUCUUCUUCCCCGAAGCGGAGUAGCUUCUUCUGGUCCUCAUUGAAAUAACCUGCUUUCACCAUCUUCGAAAGGUCAGCUUUUGAAACAGUUGAUUUCCCAAAAUCCAGGUGACUGGGCUUGCUGGGCGUAGCAAGGUGAUAGUCAUCUUCGGAGUCAGUCCCUUCAAUGUUUUCUUCUCCUUCGGCAGUUGUUGGGCCUGCUUCAGCAGCAGGCAUUUCUUCUGUAAGUAGACCGGAACGCUGCAUUGCUUCGGAGAUGGGCAUAGUGUCUGAACCUUCGGCUUCGUCUCCCUCACGUACAACUUUGGCAGUAGAUCGUAUUCUCGCCAUUUGAUUCUAAGUUUGGGAAGUCAAAAACUUUUUCCUUUUUUCUCUCUUCGAAGCUCUUCUUUCUGACGAAGCGGACGUUGAGAAGCACCUUCGUUCGAUUCUGAGACUUAAGCUUCGGCUAUGGUGAAAAAUUUUGGCAGCGAAACAGUGCAAAUAGCAAUGAAUGCUGUGGUAACUUCACACCCACCUGUUUGUUUAUAUAGUGCUGCAGGUAGGAAGGCGAAGCCGUGGAACUGUUACACCAGGUGCGCAGUAACUCAUACCCGCUGCGCAGUGGACCGCAAGGAUCAAACAGUAACUCUGCAAGGUGGGACCGACACGCGCUCGGAAGUCGGAUCAUUUCUCCGCAACGAGCUCAGGGAAGGUGUUUUUUGGACCUUCGGCUUCCCGAAGCUGAAGAGGCUUUUUUCACGGGUCAAGCUCGUUACGAAGAACGAUCUAGCACCGCGAAAGGGGCUACUGUUGGGGUCGUGCUUCGGUGCGCCGAAGGUCUCACACGAAGAAGCAGCUUCGGCUGAAGUCGUCUCCAAGAGAUGGCCGAAGGUCCCUUUUCAUGGAGCUUCGGCGUUUUAAACCGACAUAGAGAUAGAAUGACCUUUUUAUACAUAUAGGUCUGAGUCAAUGCUGUAAACUUUCGCAAGGGGCAUAAUUGUAAUUUGUCACAGGCUGCGACCUGUGCCUAUAAAUAGAUGAACAGUACCUCUGUACUGUUCACGUGAACCUGUCAUUUGCUUUCGCAUCACGCUUGUACUUUUGCCUUCCGCAGGACCGAAGGUACAUUUGUAAUUCAAAGUCAUUUAUAUUCACUAAUACAAAUAGAGACAAUUCUAUGACAAUAUUUAAAUGUUUAUUUCAUAUUCUAUGAUUUAUGUGAAUGCUUCAUUCUUCGUUCUUAUGUUUACGAAGGUAUGUCCUUCGUAACCUUCAUCCGAGAUGCUUUAUAUCCCGAAGGGAUAUAUCGUUAUGGAGGACGAAGGACCUUAACACUUAACGUUUUUUGUGUUGCCUUGUUCUUAAUUCUUAGCAUUUGAGAACAAGUUCCCAACAGUAGGUCUUAGCCUCUAGUAUUAUUGAAAAUGGUCGCUCAUGGCUAUUUUCAUAAACAAUGGGGGUUGUGUGGCCAUUUAUCAUCGACUAGAGGCUCAUAAACCUCACCCCACAUAUGUUUCCUUGCCAUAGAUCACAUUCUUGGAUUUCUGGUGGAGACCAUUUCUUGGUUAAAAACUCGUACGUGUUAGCCUUCGGUAUUAUUGAAAAUGGUCGUUCAUUGCUAUUUUCGACAAAAAUUAGGGUUCUGUGGCCAUUGAUCGUCGACCAGAGGCUCAUACACCUCACCCCACAUAUGUUUCCUUGCCAUAGAUCACAUUCUUGGAUUUCUGGUGGAGACCAUUUCUUGGUCAAAAAUCCGUAGGUGUUAGCCUUCGAUAUUAUUGAAAAUGGUCGUUCAUGGCUAUUUUCGACAAAAAUGGGGGUUGUGUGGCCAUUGAUCAUCGACCAGAGGCUCAUACACCUCACCCCACAUAUGUUUCCUUGCCAUAGAUCACAUUCUUGGAUUUCUGGUGGAGACCAUUUCUUGGUCAAAAAUCCGUAGGUGUUAGCCUUCGGUAUUAUUGAAAAUGGUCGUUCAUGGCUAUUUUCGACAAAAAUGGGGGUUGUGUGGCCAUUGAUCAUCGACCAGACGCUCAUACACCUCACCCCACAUAUGUUUCCUUGCCAUAGAUCACAUUCUUGGAUUUCUGGUGGAGACCAUUUCUUGGUCUAAAAUCCGUAGGUGUUAGCCUCUAGUAUUAUUGAAAAUGGUCGCUCAUGGCUAUUUUCAAGGUCGCUCAUGGCUAUUUUCAUAAAAAAUGGGGGUUGUGUGGCCAUUUAUCAUCGACUAGAGGCUCAUAAACCUCACCCCACAUAUGUUUCCUUGCCAUAGAUUACAUUCUUGGAUUUCUGGUGGAAACCAUUUCUUGGUUAAAAACUCGUACGUGUUAGCCUUCGGUAUUAUUGAAAAUGGUCAUUCAUGGCUAUUUUCAGCAAAAUGGGGGUUGUGUGGCCAUUGAUCGUCGACCAGAGGCUCAUACACCUCACCCCACAUAUGUUUCCUUGUCGUAGAUCACAUUCUUGGAUUUCUGAUGGAGACCAUUUCUUGGUCAAAAAUCCGUAGGUGUUAGCCUUCGAUAUUAUUGAAAAUGGUCGUUCAUGGCUAUUUUCGACAAAAAUUUGGGUUGUGUGGCCAUUGAUCAUCGACCAGAGGCUCAUACACCUCACCCCACAUAUGUUUCCUUGCCACAGAUCACAUUCUUGGAUUUAUGGUGGAAACCAUUUCUUGGUCAAAAAUCCGUAGGUGUUAGCCUUCGGUAUUAUUGAAAAUGGUCGUUCAUGGCUAUUUUCGGCAAAAUGGGGGUUGUGUGGCCAUUGAUCAUCGACCAGAGGCUCGUACACCUCACCCCACAUAUGUUUCCUUGCCAUAGAUCACAUUCUUGGAUUUCUGGUGGAGACCAUUUCUUGGUCAAAAAUCCGUAGGUGUUAGCCUUCGGUAUUAUUGAAAAUGGUCAUUCAUGGCUAUUUUCGACAAAAAUGGGGGUUGUGUGGCCAUUGAUCAUCGACCAGAGGCUCAUACACCUCACCCCACAUAUGUUUCCUUGCCAUAGAUCACAUUCUUGGAUUUCUGGUGGAGACCAUUUCUUGGUCAAAAAUCCGUAGGUGUUAGCCUUCGAUAUUAUUGAAAAUGGUCGUUCAUGGCUAUUUUCGACAAAAAUGGGGGUUGUGUGGCCAUUGAUCAUCGACCAGAGGCUCAUACACCUCACCCCACAUAUGUUUCCUUGCAUAGAUACAUUCUUGGAUUUCUGGUGGAGACCAUUUCUUGGUCUAAAAUCCGUAGGUGUUAGCCUCUAGUAUUAUUGAAAAUGGUCGCUCAUGGCUAUUUUCAUAAAAAAUGGGGGUUGUGUGGCCAUUGAUCAUCGACCAGAGGCUCGUACACCUCACCCCACAUAUGUUUCCUUGCCAUAGAUUACAUUCUUGGAUUUCUGGUGGAAACCAUUUCUUGGUUAAAAACUCGUACGUGUUAGCCUUCGGUAUUAUUGAAAAUGGUCAUUCAUGGCUAUUUUCGGCAAAAUGGGGGUUGUGUGGCCAUUGAUCAUCGACCAGAGGCUCAUACACCUCACCCCACAUAUGUUUCCUUGCCAUAGAUCACAUUCUUGGAUUUCUGGUGGAGACCAUUUCUUGGUCAAAAAUCCGUAGGUCUUAGCCUCUAGUAUUAUUGAAAAUGGUCGCUCAUGGCUAUUUUCAUAAAAAAUGGGGGUUGUGUGGCCAUUUAUCAUCGACUAGAGGCUCAUAAACCUCACCCCACAUAUGUUUCCUUGCCAUAGAUCACAUUCUUGGAUUUCUGGUGGAGACCAUUUCUUGGUUAAAAACUCGUACGUGUUAGCCUUCGGUAUUAUUGAAAAUGGUCGUUCAUGGCUAUUUUCGACAAAAAUGGGGUUUGUGGCCAUUGAUCAUCGACCAGAGGCUCAUACACCUCACCCCACAUAUGUUUCCUUGCAUAGAUCACAUUCUUGGAUUUCUGGUGGAGACCAUUUCUUGGUCAAAAAUCCGUAGGUGUUAGCCUUCGUAUUAUUGAAAAUGGUCGUUCAUGGCUAUUUUCGACAAAAAUGGGGGUUGUGUGGCCAUUGAUCAUCGACCAGAGGCUCAUACACCUCACCCCACAUAUGUUUCCUUGCCAUAGAUCACAUUCUUGGAUUUCUGGUGGAGACCAUUUCUUGGUCAAAAAUCCGUAGGUGUUAGCCUUCGGUAUUAUUGAAAAUGGUCGUUCAUGGCUAUUUUCGACAAAAAUGGGGGUUGUGUGGCCAUUGAUCAUCGACCAGAGGCUCAUACACCUCACCCCACAUAUGUUUCCUUGCCAUAGAUCACAUUCUUGGAUUUCUGGUGGAGACCAUUUCUUGGUCAAAAAUCCGUAGGUGUUAGCCUCUAGUAUUAUUGAAAAUGGUCGCUCAUGGCUAUUUUCCAGGUCGCUCAUGGCUAUUUUCAUAAAAAUGGGGGUUGUGUGGCCAUUUAUCAUCGACUAGAGGCUCAUAAACCUCACCCCACAUAUGUUUCCUUGCCAUAGAUCACAUUCUUGGAUUUCUGGUGGAGACCAUUUCUUGGUAAAAAUCCGUAGUGUUAGCCUUCGGUAUUAUUGAAAAUGGUCAUUCAUGGCUAUUUUCAGCAAAAUGGGGGUUGUGUGGCCAUUGAUCGUCGACCAGAGGCUCAUACACCUCACCCCACAUAUGUUUCCUUGCCAUAGAUCACAUUCUUGGAUUUCUGGUGGAGACCAUUUCUUGGUCAAAAAUCCGUAGGUGUUAGCCUUCGUAUUAUUGAAAAUGGUCGUUCAUGGCUAUUUUCGACAAAAAUGGGGUUGUGUGGCCAUUGAUCAUCGACCAGAGGCUCAUACACCUCACCCCACAUAUGUUUCCUUGCCAUAGAUCACAUUCUUGGAUUUCUGGUGGAGACCAUUUCUUGGUCAAAAAUCCGUAGGUGUUAGCCUUCGUAUUAUUGAAAAUGGUCGUUCAUGGCUAUUUUCGCAAAAUGGGGGUUGUGUGGCCAUUGAUCAUCGACCAGAGGCUCAUACACCUCACCCCACAUAUGUUUCCUUGCCAUAGAUCACAUUCUUGGAUUUCUGGUGGAGACCAUUUCUUGGUCAAAAAUCCGUAGGUGUUAGCCUUCGGUAUUAUUGAAAAUGGUCAUUCAUGGCUAUUUUCGACAAAAAUGGGGGUUGUGUGGCCAUUGAUCAUCGACCAGAGGCUCAUACACCUCACCCCACAUAUGUUUCCUUGCCAUAGAUCACAUUCUUGGAUUUCUGGUGGAGACCAUUUCUUGGUCAAAAAUCCGUAGGUGUUAGCCUUCGUAUUAUUGAAAAUGGUCGUUCAUGGCUAUUUUCGACAAAAAUGGGGGUUGUGUGGCCAUUGAUCAUCGACCAGAGGCUCAUACACCUCACCCCACAUAUGUUUCCUUGCCAUAGAUCACAUUCUUGGAUUUCUGGUGGAGACCAUUUCUUGGUCAAAAAUCCGUAGGUGUUAGCCUUCGGUAUUAUUGAAAAUGGUCGCUCAUGGCUAUUUUCGACAAAAAUGGGGGUUGUGUGGCCAUUGAUCAUCGACCAGAGGCUCAUACACCUCACCCCACAUAUGUUUCCUUGCCAUAGAUCACAUUCUUGGAUUUCUGGUGGAAACCAUUUCUUGGUUAAAAAUCCGUACGUGUUAGCCUUCGGUAUUAUUGAAAAUGGUCAUUCAUGGCUAUUUUCGCAAAAUGGGGGUUGUGUGGCCAUUGAUCAUCGACCAGAGGCUCAUACACCUCACCCCACAUAUGUUUCCUUGCCAUAGAUCACAUUCUUGGAUUUCUGGUGGAGACCAUUUCUUGGUCAAAAAUCCGUAGGUGUUAGCCUCUAGUAUUAUUGAAAAUGGUCGCUCAUGGCUAUUUUCAUAAAAAUGGGGGUUGUGUGGCCAUUUAUCAUCGACUAGAGGCUCAUAAACCUCACCCCACAUAUGUUUCCUUGCCAUAGAUCACAUUCUUGGAUUUCUGGUGGAGACCAUUUCUUGGUCAAAAAUCCGUACGUGUUAGCCUUCGGUAUUAUUGAAAAUGGUCGUUCAUGGCUAUUUUCGGCAAAAUGGGGGUUGUGUGGCCAUUGAUCAUCGACCAGAGGCUCAUACACCUCACCCCACAUAUGUUUCCUUGCCAUAGAUCACAUUCUUGGAUUUCUGGUGGAGACCAUUUCUUGGUCAAAAAUCCGUACGUGUUAGCCUUUGGUAUUUUUGAAAAUGGUCAUUCAUGGCUAUUUUCGACAAAAAUGGGGGUUGUGUGGCCAUUGAUCAUCGACUAGAGGCUCAUACACCUCACCCCACAUAUGUUUCCUUGCCAUAGAUCACAUUCUUGGAUUUCUGGUGGAGACCAUUUCUUGGUCAAAAAUCUGUAGGUGUUAGCCUUCGUAUUAUUGAAAAUGGUCGUUCAUGGCUAUUUUCGACAAAAAUGGGGGUUGUGUGGCCAUUGAUCAUCGACCAGAGGCUCAUACACCUCACCCCACAUAUGUUUCCUUGCGUAGAUCACAUUCUUGGAUUUCUGGUGGAGACCAUUUCUUGGUCAAAAAUCCGUAGGUGUUAGCCUCUAGUAUUAUUGAAAAUGGUCGCAUUCAUGGCUAUUUUCAUAAAAAAUGGGGUUGUGUGGCCAUUUAUCAUCGACUAGAGGCUCAUAACCUCACCCCACAUAUGUUUCCUUGCAUAGAUCACAUUCUUGGAUUUCUGGUGGAGACCAUUUCUUGGUCAAAAAUCCGUAGGUGUUAGCCUUCGUAUUAUUGAAAAUGGUCGUUCAUGGCUAUUUUCGACAAAAAAUGGGGGUUGUGUGGCCAUUGAUCGUCGACCAGAGGCUCAUACACCUCACCCCACAUAUGUUUCCUUGCCAUAGAUCACAUUCUUGGAUUUCUGGUGGAGACCAUUUUUGGUUAAAAAUCCGUACGUGUUAGCCUUUGGUAUUUUUGAAAAUGGUCAUUCAUGGCUAUUUUCAUAAAAAUGGGGGUUGUGUGGCCAUUGAUCAUCGACCAGAGGCUCAUACACCUCACCCCACAUAUGUUUCCUUGUCAUAGAUCACAUUCUUGGAUUUCUGGUGGAGACCAUUUCUUGGUCAAAAAUCCGUAGGUGUUAGCCUUCGGUAUUAUUGAAAAUGGUCGUUCAUGGCUAUUUUCGACAAAAAUGGGGGUUGUGUGGCCAUUGAUCAUCGACCAGAGGCUCAUACACCUCACCCCACAUAUGUUUCCUUGCCAU
rnacentral:lncRNA from 1 species